rnacentral:rRNA from 1 species
GAUCCUGGCUCAGGAUGAACGCUAGCUACAGGCUUAACACAUGCAAGUCGAGGGGCAGCAUGAACUUAGCUUGCUAAGUUUGAUGGCGACCGGCGCACGGGUGGGUAACACGUAUCCAACCUGCCGAUGACUCGGGGAUAGCCUUUCGAAAGAAAGAUUAAUACCCGAUGGCAUAGUUCUUCCGCAUGGUAGAACUAUUAAAGAACUUCGGUCAUCGAUGGGGAUGCGUUCCAUUAGGUUGG